rfam:Tortispora caseinolytica NRRL Y-17796 unplaced genomic scaffold CANCAscaffold_3, whole genome shotgun sequence.
GGCGAGUUGGCCGAGUGGUUUAAGGCGGCAGACUUAAGCUUUCAAGCAAUCUGCUGGAGAUUUCCGCGCGAGUUCGAACCUCGCACUCGUCA